GGCGGGUGUGUAAAUCCAAGCCAGGUCAUUAGGCGGCUGGCGCGGCCCCGCACCGCCCUGCGGCUAGUUCUCUCCCUUCUCUCAGAUUUCAGCGACUGGCAGCUGAGGCGGCGGCGGCGCCAGCAGCGUCAAGGUAACCGGGUCUGGCGCCUGCCCCGCGGGGCCCGCUGCCCCCCCCGCCCGGGCCCCGUUCCAGGGCCGGUGCCCGCAGCCGUGGCAAGUCGCUCGCAGGAAGAGAGCGGCCGGCGCCGGGCAGCGGGGAUGGCGGCCGCGGCCAUGGACGGCAGCCGCCCCCAAGGCGAAGGCAGCCGGUGGGAGCGCGGCAUCGGGCCCUAAGGCUAAGGCGGCUGGAGCGGCAGACCCCCAAGGUGGCUGGCGGGGCCAGGGAGCGCGGCGGGCUCUGCACUGACGGCGGCCUCAGGCGGGAGCGCAGCGGAGACGGCGGCCCCAGGCCCCACGGUGAAGGUGGCCUGCGGGAGCGUGACAGUGGUGGUGGCAAUCUCGGGCCCCAUGGCGAAGGUGGCUGCUGGGAGCGGGACCCUGGUAGCCCCGGGCCCCAUGGCAAAGGUGGACGCUGGGAGGGUGGUGGUGGGUUUGGGUCCUGUGGCGAAGGAGGCCGACGGGAGCACAGCGGAGAUGACAGUGAAGGUGGCUGGUGGGACCUUGACGGUGGCGACGACAGCAGCAACCUAAGGCGGCCGGUGGGAGCACGGCGGCCGGUGGGAGCACAGCGACCUCAGGCCCUGUGGCGAUGUCCGUGGCCUCAAGCUGCGGAGUAACGGGUCCCACGGCGAAGGUGGCCAAUGAGAUCAUUCAGUCUCUCUCUUUUGGGUCACGGGCGGCCACCCCACUGUCAAGACAACGGUGGGAUAUCCGUAUCUACAGUGGAGCCCAACAGCAGCAGCACUUUGGCCUUCAAGGGUUCUGUGGUUUCAAUGACAGCCACAAAGAGGCACAACAACAACAUCCCUGUGUGUGGGACUCCAGAAGCCAAGCUCCUCAAAUUGCCCUGGUCUGAUGACAACCAUAGUCCAGCCCUUUUGGAAGCCUUCAAGGCUGUGGUAGCAGCUGGUGGGAGUGGCUGGCUGGACCCAGUAGCAGUGGCUGCAGUGAAAACAGAACUGGAAGUGGACUUUUCCUCUGAGGAGGACCUAGGUAGCGGGAGCAGAGAGGCAAGAGCAGUGAGCCACAGCAACUCACCUGGACCCCCACCUUACUUGUGACAGAACGCAAGAGAAAGAAGAAGCCCAUUAGCCAGGAACGCACAACCUUAGUGAACCUUGUACCACCCAUUGAUAGGAUAAAGGAACCUAAGCCCAACCCCCUGGGAUCAGAGGAACAAGCAGAGGCCUACAAUAUGGAGCCCGUGUUGUCAUUUUUCCCACCAGAGUCCCCCAUUAGAAGCAUGGUACCAGGUGAGUGGAGUGGGAGGGCUUCAGCCUAUGGAGUUGUAUAAUGCACUCCGCGGCCACACAAGAUGUAGAGACUGUGGGUUCCAGGGAAUGAUGCUUUAUCUUUAGAAGUAGUCUGAAGAUCAUUUGUGUGUUUUUUCCUGCUUCUUUAUGAUGCAUGGGAGAAAAACCCUAAAGAGAUUGAUAUACAUUUGAUGGUGCAGGAGAAGUAGAAAUGAGUCUGAUCUUCUGUAGAUCCCUGUCACCCCUAGAAGAUGAUGGGUGACUGGAAAAAAUUAGGAACAGGACAUUUGAGAAGCCAGGCUCUGCUUCCCUACUGAGUAGAGGACCUGCACUUUCUUUUGUCUUUCUCUUGCUCUUCAUGAUUAAUCCUGUGUUAACACUAAGAAGUACAUAGGGCUUACAAGUAUCAUAUAUCCCACUCUCAUAUGAGUCUAGCUUCCAUCUAGUGUCUGACUAGUAACAGGACACUGAUUCUGUAACCUGCUCUGCAACAGAGGUUUUGACAAAACUGGCUUCCUCACCAUCAGUUGCUCUGCAAUCUGUCCUCAAAUAGCACAUUAAUUUCUGGCUAUACUCAAGGACUCUACCUUCCAGCACACUACUGGCUUGGAUGCUGACUUGCAAACAAGUCAUCUUACCGUUUCGUAGUCCCAUUUCAAAUUUACCCAUUUACCUACCUCAAGGGGUAUAUUAAAGAUAUUAAGUGCCCAGUAGCUAGGGAUUAUAAUUUUUUUUUUUUGUACUUUCAUAAAGAACACAUAGCUAGUGGAAAUUUUUCUCAUGAGGAUCCAGUGAGAAACUUUUUCUUGUUUUGAGAUCAUUUAUAUGAACAGCGAUCAAAAGAGCUGACUGUUGAAAUGCCAUCUAAUUCUUUCCCUAUGUUUGUGUUAAGCCUACAAGUCAUCGCUUAGAGGGAUCAGAAUAACGCUGUUGAUGAUAUACUGGCAAAAACACAUGUAUAUUUUGUUUAUUAAGUGGCUUAUACCGAGAGGUCAUCAGACUGGGAAUGGCAGCAACUCCACGACUUCCUAUCUUUGCAGGGGAGUCUGGAAUGGGGGCAAAAGGGGGUUAGAAUACCAUAAGCUUAAUUGCCAGAAAUGGGCAAGAAGAAAAGUUGUCCGUUACCUGUGCAUCUUUUGGAAGACGUGAGGUGGAAAAUCUGGGGUGGUCUAGGAGGUUUGCAGAGCACCUCUCUAAGGCAAGGCUGUAAUAAUACCAGAAUCUCCCAAGAGUGGAGAAAUUGGCUGAUGACCUCUUUCAAUUGGCAAUACAUAGUUGUUGAGCAUUUUUGUAGCAGGAACGUAUUUGUAGUGUGAACAACACUGUACCCUUUGGUACGUUAAUAAAGUUAUGAUUUUUGUGUUCUCUUCAAAGCUGUGAUAUAUUUGUAUGCCUUGGUGAAGUGCCUACCAGUGUUUAGCUUUCUGCAGAAUAGCAGAACCUUGCAUGCAUUUUGGUUUGCAUUGCAACCCGAAAGUUAACAUGGAGGGGAGAGCUGUUCCCAUUGUGGGGGACUUUUAAGUAAAAUUCAUUACUACUUCAUAAAGAUUAUAAGCAACAUACACUGGCAUUCCUGUGAUUUUCAGGUAGGACUGACACAUGCUUACAAAUUUUUUUUUCACCCCUAUUUGGUUUCUGUAAUGGCACUGGCACAAUGCCACUCUUGAUGUCUGUCAGUGACACUCAGAAAUGAAAAUGUAAUUAAAAUUUAAUUUGUCAAACAACUUAAUUUUUCUAACUAUGAAGUGAAACUUCAAAGUAGUGCUGAGUAAAACUUUUAAUAUAGCAAUGAGACUGCCAGUCUUUUCCCUAUGCCUGUGCCUGGUAUCUCUAUGAAUAAGGCUUUAUAGGCCUAAAUGUCAGUGCUCCAUAGUGAUUAAUAUUGUAGUGAAAGCAAUUACACGGUAUUUCUUUGUAAAUGCUGUGGUAGCCUUUCACUUAUUAGCUUGUACCAGCCUCUGUUUUUGAUCUAGUCUUGGCUAGAACUUGCACGUGGUACUGAGGUACUACAAUCAUUUUGAUAUACAUACCUAGAAAAAUGGGGUUUUCAAGGAGUUAACCCUUUGUUUCUCUGCUCCUUUUUCAAACUAGCAUGAUCAGACCAUUCCCCUUAAAGGGCAGAUCAUUUGUAAUAAAUACUAAUGAAUGAUGCUCUGGCUGUCAGGUGGCAUUAACAAAUUAUUUUAUUAUAUUGUUGCCUUCUCUUUUGUCCCUCCCCAAAGGCCAAGCAGAGAAUUUAAAAUAAGAAAUUGAGGGCAGUGUGAUGCUUGUCUCACUCUACACUGAUAUAAACGCCAUUUACUUUAAUGGAGCUACUCCUGACUUGCACAGAUUUGAAAGGGCAAUCAGGCCUUAGAGAUGCUGUUAGGUCAUGUAGUUUUGACCUUCUGCUGUGUCUAGGUGACAGUUCUGACAUCUCAAUAACAUAAUUGAUCCUCUAGCACAGGGAACAAAGGCCAGUGGUGGCUUCAACUUUCUAGCUCUGGUCUCUGCCCAUGGUUACAUUGUCAUUGGUUUGGGUGUAUUUAACCUUUUAAAUGGAACUUUUAAACGCAAUGUAUUUCCAUUCUGAAUGUUUAACGGAAGACUGAUUCCCUAGAAGUAUUAGCUACAUACAAAACAUAUGUGGGGAAAAGGACAGUGUUACUGAAUUAGGCCAGAAUUUUCAAACUGGAUGCCUAAAUUUAAGUUCCUAAAUAAGAGGCUUGCCCCCACUUUUUUGCUGUUGUAGAGCACUGAAUCUUGUAAAAUUACCUAUAUUAAUGAACUUCUAUGGAGUUAAUAACAUUAGCCUUUGGUAAGAUGCAGUAAGUGUGUUACAGCUUCAUAAGAAGAGGUAAGAAGUGGUAUGCAAAUACAAUUUAAUUCUUUUGGUUUAUACAGAGUCAAAUAACAAGUUUGUGUUACUCUUAUGAACUGCUGUAUUCUUUUCUAUUUAUGAACAAGUCUUUGUCAUCUUAUCUAGUAAGAUGCACUUUCCCAUGGAUAUAUAGCAUAAAUUUUUUGUUGAAUGCUUGCAUUUACUUGGGAAAGUCUAGAAUAUAGUUUUGAAUGUCUAAUAAUACUUGGAGCUUUUUAUCUGUAGGUUUCAAAGUACUUUGCGGAGAUGGGUAAGUAUCAAUAAUAUAUAGAGAAAAGAAAACUGGAACAUCAUUAUUAGUGCAUAUAUGUGUGUAUUCUUUAUGUAUCACUUCUACUUGAUUGUUGCUGACAAUUUAAUAGCUUGAUCUUCAAAGACAAUAUGCAAAGAAAUAUAUCCAGAUAUUUGGCUUUGUUGCUAUAGUCUAUUUUCCUGGAAACUACAUAGGGAAUCCAGGUUGUCCCAUAGUCCUUGUCUAUGCAACAGUUACUUGUAGGAUACUGAAUAUGGGUAUGCCAUGCCCUUGGUGAGGACCUGUGACAUUAUCCAGGGUACAAUCUGGACAGAUGGACAGCUGUGUCCCCUCAGAUCUCCAACCUGGGGUGUCUUUUACGUUGCUGUUCCUGCCAUGAGCAUAGAGAAAUGGAGGAGAGAGUCUGUGAUAACCUUGGAAAGUGCUUGGACUGACAGCUUUGGAAACAGAACUGUUCGCAGAAAGGUGCAUCUGGAGCAGUGCAAGAUGUACCAUGCCAUCCCCAGUAAUGUAUCUUGUUGGACGGCAUACUGGAAUGAGAACUGGACAGAUGUCAGCCAGGACAAUAGAGGGCUACAACUUUAUUUUGAUGUUCACAGUUAUAAAAUGUACAUAUUCCUGACCUCAGAAUAAAUGUGCUAUACUAUAAAUCCGGAGUUAAUCCUGGCAGGUUAAGGGGCAGACUCCUGCUGUGGUGAUCUGCUAGGUGCAGCAGAAGGAGUGCUGUCAGAAAACUGUGAUUGGCGCUCUGAUUCUCUCCCUCAAUCCUGGUGCAAGUUAGAGUAGCCCUUAGGCUAGGGACUGCUGGAGUGUUACCCCUUAAGAUUCUCCCCUUCCCUGCAAGUGAUGUUUCCUUUGCACUGGGGCUGCAAAGCGGGAGAUACGGGAACUCUUUGCACAUUGAAGAUUCUCCCACAUGGGGAUUUGGGAGCAAGGGACUUGUGUGGAUUUGCACUCCCUGAGUGCUGCAAAGGCAGAGGUCAGGAUCAGAGAAUCUGCCCCUAAAACUUGAAAGGGUCCUAGUACAAUUGUGCUGUCAAAGCUGUGGCCUACUGGCCAUAAAUUAUAUAAGAUGAUGUCAGGUUUCAGAGGAGCAGCCAUGUUAGUCUGUGUUGAGGUAACUAGACAGUCCCAACUUUCCUUACCAGUUUGAUCAAAUUACCAACAGUCAACCGCAGCUUUGCCUGUUAGAGGAGAAUGCAGCUGGAUCACUAGGUAAGAAAUACCUCACUUCUUCAGAUGCAACAUAUCUCCUAAACACCGUAUCCAAUUUUACUCCUAUUUUCCAGGGUCCUAAGAGCACAAUCUGUAAAAAUUUGCAAAAGCAGCGCUUGUUUUUCCCCAAUAUUAAGAGAUUAUUAUCAGUGCCAAAGACUCAUGCAUUGACAAGGCAGAAGGAAUGCACCAGGAUUGAAAGAACAAAAAACCUUUUCGGAUGCUGCAAUGUUAAGGUUAUAAAAUUAUCUGUCUAGUUUUUUAGAAGAUUGCUGAUCACUGCGAGGUUUGAACAGGGCAGUCCUGGGGAAAAUAUUAGGACUGCUGGGUAUUUCAUAUUCCAAACUACAUUUGUGAAAACAACACUGGGCAAUAGUAAUCUACAACGUUCAAGGUAAGUCCAAAAGAUAAAAAUGAAGUAUUCCUAUAUGCUUUUUUUUUCUGGCAAAUGUCAUGUAUCCCAAACUGUGAAUCCAAGUGUGUUCCCCAGAAAGCGAGUGCUAAGGUUGUGGAUUGAGCUGAACAUAUAAUGUAAGGCAGAAUAUGGAGUUGCUGUUUUGGGUAAAAAUGUCAGGUGCAGAGAAAACAGAGAUUAAAUUGUGACAAUUAUUAUGAAGUUGGCACAGCAGAAAUUCAGGAUGAUUCUGAGAACUAGAAUGUCAGUAAAGAGGAGACUAAUCUGUACAGGAGAAGGUGGGAGGGUGCCACCAAGUUAUCAAGUGUGAUGAAAGGAAUUGUUUGAGUAUAGAUAAUGCAAGGGAUGAUUAACAGAACUGUGGGCAUCUACUACAGACAUUCAGAACAGGAAGACAGCAAUACCUAAGAAUUCAUGAGAUAUUCUAACUGCCCAGAUAUCUGUUGGGUAUCAAGCAACAGCAAAAGAUUCCAGAGUUCUGCAGGGCGAAGCUAAGGUGCAGAACGUAGAGGUUUUCUACCAGGUGAGAAGCAAUUUGAACCCUGUUUCUUAUUGAGAGGCAGGUGCUGCUUGAGAUCAUAAGAUUGAUGGGGAAGUGGACACACAACACAAUGGAACAUAGGUUAGAAAUACAGAAAAUUAAUGUCACUUGAACACCAGCAAUUUUAUUAUUUGCAUUAGAGUAGUGCCUAACAGAGUCCCCAGCUCAGAUUGGAUUCCCAUUGUACUAUACACUAAAGGGAAAAGCUUUCAACUGAACUUAAGUCCCAAAAGAGACAGGCUCCUAGGAGCUGAAGUCUCAAUGGAAAUCAGUGGGACUUGAGCAUCUAAGUCACUUGCACUUUAAAAAUUUGACCCUGUACAAACACAUAGUAAAUAAUAACCUGUAUCCCAAAGAACUUAGUCUAGCUAAAUAUCCUUGAGGAGCAACGAUUAAAAUAUAUGCAGAGAAAAACAGGAAUGUUGAAAGAGGUUUGGAAGUGGUGAUGGGCAUCACUUCAGAUAAGAGGUUUUUCUAAUGUGAUUGCGCCAAAAAAAAAAAAAAAGCCAGUGCAAUUUGGGCUGCAUAUACAGACACACAUCAGGAAGCAGAAGGUAACAUUCUCUUACACAUCUCCAGUGCAGCUGCACCUGGAAAUGGCCCUUUCACUUUUAGACAGCUCAGAACCAGCAAGCUGGUUGGAGUUCAGAGAAGGACAAUACAAAUGAUUAGGGUGCGAGAGGGUGUGACUUAAAUUAAAAGGUAAAUGUGUCUCGCUUUUACAAAUGACAGCUAAGGGGGAGGUGACGUGAGUUAACAAUUGUUUGAGAUGAGUUUAUGUAGUGAGGUGCAUAAGGAUAGAACUAUGCAGUUGAGAAAGUUGGGAAACUUGCAGAAUUGUAGGAAAAAAAUCUGGAUUGUGAGACACUUUUGGAUUAUGGAUAGUUUUGUAAGGGAAGAGGUGGAAGCACUAGCACUUAAGACUAGGCCAGGCAAAGCAUUGCAAUAUGUAGAGAAUAAUCGGAAAUUGGCAAGAAGACCGCCGGGAUAUUCUAAUGAGUCUUUUCCACCUUUACCUUCUAUGCAUUGAUGUGUUUAGGGAGAUGUGUUGUGAAACUGGGGAAGAAAAGAUAAACUUGCUUUUGUUUACUGUAGUCCAAAAUGAGAUGUACUCAAUCUUGUCUUCUGCACUUGGUUUUUGUACCCAACCCCCUGUGCAAAAUAGUCAUGAUGACACAAGUUUAACCUCUGAGAACUUUAUAGUCUAUCACAAAAUGAAGCCUGUUAAAUAACAAACUUGUCUCAAUAAAAUCUAGUGGAAACUUAAUGUUCAUAUCCACUAUAGACUUAACAUAGUAACUUUGUGAAAGCUGUUAAUUAAGAAGCCUAAUAUUUACAGGGCCUCAUUUCAGAGGUACUGAGGGUCCACAACACCAGUGGAAGUUGUGGGUGCUUGGCAUUUCCAAAAACCAGGUGUAUGUUGACUUAGAAAUAUUAAAUGCUUCCGUUGAAAAACAGUCCUCUUCUGGACUCCCCGUUCUUAAGACUAUACCCAGGACUGUAUCUUACGUUUUAGUGCCCAGAACAAUGGGGCCCAACUUGGUUGUGGCUUUUAAGCAUUACCAUAAGGUAAAUGUUAAACUCCCAGGUGAGAAGGAUGGGUGCACACUAGAGACCAUUCCAAGCUGGAAAAUCUGGGAAUAAGUAUCCACAACUAUGGGGCAUCCCUUUUCCAACAGGUAAAAUGGAAUCCUGUCCUUUCCAUGUGCUUUUCUCCCCACAGUAGUAGAUUGGGAAGGCUGUGGUUGAACCGUUCUAUGGGUAUAAAGGAAAUGGAAGUAUCAUGUGUUUCAGAUUUUGAGUGCUCCCAGUCAUUGGCACUUGUCAACUGCCAAACUGUACUGAAAAUGACAAAAAUAAACUAAUAAAAGAUAAAUAUCUUGUAUUUAGUCCUUGUGUCUCCUCCUUAUUUCCAUCUCCAAAGAGGCCGGUAAACAUAAAACAAUCUGCAUUUUCUCUUGGCAGCAGCCUGUUGACUUUAUUGGCCAUGACUGUGGUUUUUAUAUAAUAGACCAAACUACGGGGGGCAUUAGGAAGGGGAAGAAGCCAAUCACCUUCUCUUGUGGGGAAAGGGAACCCAUAGGAUCUCACUGCAGCCCCAAAACUGGCAGCGCUGACUGUGGGAGUGGGACAUGUAUCAGGAAUACAUGUUGAUUUAACUCAUGACCUUGGUAGCUUCUGUUUGCGAAAUGCCUGUGGAGCCUUGGCUGUAAAGUAAAUCUGCUCCCCUCAACUUGCAGAGGGAAAACUCUAAGGGAGCAGUGUAGUGACAGCACCAUCUGCCCUCCUUCAGAAUGAGUUCUUCCCUAUCCCCUAGGGUGAAGGAUCCCAGGCUGGUGCAGUGAGAUGGGAAUUUGUAAUUCUUCACCAGUGGUAGCAGUGAUGGAAGAUGUAGCUACAGGGAGGCUCAGGUUGUUUGUUUUUUGUUGUUUUGUUUUUUUUUAACCACUGUUAUUAAAUGCCUGAGGCCUUUCUUCCAGCAUUGCUCAAUGCCAGUGAAGAGUUAUGGGUAUGAGGUUGGCUAGUGUAGCCACAGCCGUAGAUUGACUGGCUGCCUGGGAAAGGUGGAAGAAAUAGUUAAAUUCCAGGUUAUGUUCGUGUUCUUAUUCUCCUCCUCUGGGUGACUGUGGUUGAAAAACCAGUCUCUGCGCAAGUAUACAGCCACCUUGCUGAAAUUGUAACGCUUUAAAAUUCUGCUAGUGCUGUUUUUCCCCCAUAAUCUGUUUGAUUAAUAGCUAUAGUAGCAAUUGUGCCAUUGCUACGAGGUCGGUGAGUAUUUGGAAAAACUAAUGACUUCACAUCUUAAUUUUGAUAUAUGGUGCAACACCGUGAGAGCUGAGCAAGUAAUGCACAGUUUUGUUUUGCAUUGUGUUUUUAAGACGUUCAGUGGGGAGAAGUGCAACAUGUCAUCGUUCUGAAGAUGGCAGCAGUGAUAUGGGGCAUCCUUGUUAAAAGGCAAUUCAUGCAUACGUGACUUGGAAAAGGAUGGAAAUAGGUAGCGCAAAUGGACUUUCCAGCAGGCAGUGAAAUCUAGCUAGGUGCUCUCCUACCCUUUGUCACAGCUCAGCUGCGUUAUCCUUUGAAUUGAACCUUGCCGGCAACCGUAGAGAAAUCAGAAACAAUCCAAACAAUGCACUGGUAAUAACUUGGUAGUCCACUGGAUGGUACUGUCACUGUGUGCAUGCUUCACUAUUCUAAUUCUGAAGGUUCCUGUGCAGUUCAAAACAAAGAUUAUUUCAAGUCUUUUAUUUCAAAGAGGUAAAAUGGGAGGGGGGAAGAGAGAAGUGUGUGCAAAUCGUUUCUAUUUAAAAUGUAGCUCACACCCUCCAACCCCACAUGUUUUGUGAUCUGCCUCUUAACCAAAAUUCCUCAGAGCCUCUUGGCUGGACUCUGAUUAGUAUAGAUGAAAAUGGCUAGUGCCCUAACCAGCUGUCCUCAUCAUCCUCGUACAAUUCCAGCCUUUGAGUGAUUACGCAGCAACAUGUCCAGUUGGGGUUUUCUUGGUUUGUUUGUUUUUUUUGUUUUAAAUUAAGCUACUUGCAGAUAUUAUUGUGCCUAAGAAGAAAGUAGUGUGGUGUAGCUCAAGGUUAACAUGGAAGCUUUUCCCUCAAAAGUGAGCAUUGCUGAGUUUUUGUGUAUGUUUGCAGGAUCAGUAAGGUGCAGUAAGUUAGCCCAGAAUCCUCCUAGAAAAGCUUGCUAUGCAUUAUAUUAUUUCCUGUUUUGCAGAGGGAACCUUGCUUAGCCAGAGCCCAACAGUUUGAGUUUUGUGUUUGUUUUUCCCCCUGCGGGGUCAGACAGCCUCACUCAUGUGUGAAGUUAGGGGAUCUGAAGAUUGGUACUUGUGACUUGUUCUAAUGUCCUGGUAAAAUCCUGUUUAGUGUGACUUAAUUCACUUCUGUCUUACUAAAAAUGGGGAAAGACUAUCUCAUAGAGCACUCUUUCUCUGGACAGAUCCUAAAGUAUUUUAGUUGGGUGCCUGUAUCUUGAAACUUGUAACUUGAAAGGUGGAGCUAUUUAGCAGUGCACAGCAAUGGUAUCGUGACUUAUAGGGAAGGAUGCAAAAAAAAUAGUGUCCAGAUGCAACUGUAGUGUGAGCUAUUUCUGCUUCUCUAGUCCUACCUAUUUCCCAGUUGCUGGAACUGGGCUGUUGAUAAUUAGCCAAACUGAAAUUUGGUCAGGAUGUUAGUUUAAAAGAAAGAUGCUCUGAGUCUGUGAUGACCACAAGUGACACAGGCCUUGGUUAAACAGCGCAUCCUAAAGAUGGUGGUACUUGUAGCAUAGUUUCUUCCGCCAGCAUGCUAGAGCAGGGGUGGCCAACCUGUGGCUCCGGAGCCACAUGCGGCUCUUCAGAAGUUAAUAUGCAGUUCCUUGUAUAGGCACCAACCCCCCAGGGCUGGAGCCACAGGUGCCAACGUUCCAGUGUGCCAGGGGGUGCUCACUGCUCAACCCCUGGCUCUGCCACAGGCACUCCCCCCCAGUCCACCCCUUCCUGCCCCCUCCACAGAGCCUGCAGUGCCCUCACUCUUCCUCCCCACCCCAGCCUCUUUCAUGCCAUGAAACAGCUGAUUGGGAAGUGCAGGGAGGGAGGGGGAAGUGCUGAUCGGCGGGGCUGCCGAUGGGUGGGAGGCCCUAGAAGCGGGGGUGGGGCUGAUAACGUAUUACUGUGGCUCUUUGGCAAUGUACAUUGGUAAAUUCUGGUUCCUUCUCAGGCUCAGGUUGGCCACUCCUGUGCUAUAGCAUUGAUUCUGUACUGACUCAAGGCGGAGUGCUACAUACUGCAUCACGAGCACGCUUCUCUCAGCAUGUUGGGUUUUUCUUCAAGGUCUCCCCUGCCAAUAUCAGCCAGACCUGACUCUAGCUUAUGAAGUCAGGUGAAAUAGCAAGUAGGUAUGGCUGCAACGGAUAACAGGAGGUAUGAAGGUUGCAUCUGUCCAGGAUUUAACGAUAGACUGCUACAAAUAGGGGUCGGUGUUGAGAGAUUGCUGCCUUUUUUUAUGUGGGGUAGUUCCUUACUCCAGGGACUUCAAUGGGAGUACUGGGGAAUAAGGCCCUAUUCAAGAUGGAAAAAGGGAUCAGAAUCUGUUCUGCUUCAGUCUCUCACCUUGUGCAUAUUCCUUUCAGACUCAAUGGAAGAGUUCCAUACUGGGAUGUCUUAACACAUGAAUUCUAACUUUCUGCUUGUAUCACCUAAGCCAGAAUCACCUGUAGCUGACAAAUGUGUAUUGAAAACUUAAAUAAAUCUUUCCUUUCAUGUCAA